AGAUGUUGAACGUGGAGUUGUUUUGUUCACAAUGGAAAACUCCCUCAGGUCUUUAUAAGGGAUUUCAGAGCUGCUGUUCAACAUGACAAUUCAGAUCAGGAAAAGAAAACUCCGGAGCUCUACCCCUCACCUCUGUCUGGACUCCCGAUUGGCCACACAAAAGAAAAUACAUUUUGACAUAUGAAAGAAGACUGAUGCAUCCGACUACUGGACCAUCAUCCUGCAGAUUCCCUCCAAAACACUAAAGGACUAAAUAGAGUACCACAGAAGUGAUGUUCAAACAGUAAACAAAGCUGAGAUUUGACUGGCAUAAAAACUUCAUGAAAAUCUAACGAUAUCAUAUCAAAUAUUUCAUCAUUAAAAGCUGAAAUCUGCAGCUGCAGCUCUGCCAUAGUUACCAGAACACCAUGGCGACCAAUGACCAAGCAGGGAGCAGGGAGAUUGAUUAUCCAGAGAGUAUCACCAAAAACAAGGCCAAGAAAAAAUACAAAAAAAAAAUCCUGAGAAACAAUCCUGAUAUUCUAUAUGCUGACUACAGUGAUCAUGAAGGGAUUAGAAUAAAGAGUAACUUAAUUUUCUACACCACGCUGAUUACUGAAUGGAAAUCAGUCAUUGAUAAUGAAUACCAGCAUGUUGUUAGAACAGAAAUUGAUCAUGGAGAAAGAUUUUUCAUAUUUCGAGAUGAAGUGCAUGACACAAAUAAUCGUAUUCUCACAAUAUCCUUUUACACUACUGACACUGUGCUUGUGCAAAACAGUGAGGAAAAUCUGAAUUCAUUUGAGAAAACCUUUGCUCAGCUGAAAGUCAGAGUGCAGACAGAGAGAGAACAGGCCCAAAUGAACAAACCAAAUAAUAAUCCAACUUCACCUCCACCUCCACCGUCUAACCAUCAGCUUAGAGAUGGAGAAGAAAGAGCUGAAGAAAGAGACCAGCCACAAGCUGCUGCUGAAGAUACUAGCUCCUCCAUCAUUGAUCAUUUCAAUAAUCUGUCUGUUGGUGGAGGAUUCCAAAAGAGUUUCACUGUAGAACACCCUGGUCACUUCUGUAUGGAGAAGAAGAGCGAAAUCCAACAGAUAGAGGUAUGGACAGGAGCAUUUGAAUCCAAGUCCAAGCAAAAUCACGAGAGGCAAGUAGAAAAGUACAUUACUCUUGAGUACUUAAACAGAACAAUCAAGCAGUUUCCAUACAAGUUCAUGGACCAAACUGAUCAGCCUCAAAUUAUUCCAGCUGCAUUUGCCUCUUGAGGCACAAUUGGUGAUGAUGGGCAUGAAAAUUGGGCACUUCUAAGACUUCUUCCACUCAUGAUUGGUUUUGAUAUACCAGAGAAUGAUCUGUCAUGGGAGAUUUUAAUGCUUUUGAAAGACAUUCUGGAACUGGUGACGUCCUUCAGAUUCACUGAGGAAACUAUUGAUUUCCUUGGGGAUAAAAUUUCAGAGCACAGAGAUCUGCUUUUAACAGUAUUUCCUCAUUUUGCAUUGCGUCCCAAACACCAUUACAUUGAACAUUAACCACAGCUAAUAUGGGUGUAUGGGCCUUUAGGAGAUGUCUGGACAAUGCGUUUUGAAGGCAAGCACAAGUUCUUCAAACAAAUCAUUCAUGAUACAAAAAAUUUCAAAAAUGUCUCUCAAGCUCUGGCAGUCCGACAUCAAAGAAUGAUUGCAUACCACAUUGGAUUCAUUGUCUUUAUUCAAACCUUCUGUGCAGAUGGAAAAAGUUGCAGUGACACUGAUUUCAUCUUUUCCCCCAUAAUGCCUGCUGAUGAAUAUGAAUGAAGCAUGGAAUCAAAACAAUUAGAGCUGGAAGAAAUGAAGAAGCGUCAUCCAAGUUUACCCUGAUAUCACAGUACAUGGACAUAAAUUUUUCACUAAGGAGAAAAGAGUUGGUUGAAAAUGAGCCUUCGGUAAAAGAUACUCUACAAAGGUGGCCAGCAUUCUUUUUGGAAAGUCAGGUAAUUAACACACAUCUGUUGUUUCUUCUGUUCCUUUCCUUUCAUAGAUUAUUGCUGAGUUCAACCACAUUAAACCAAAAACCUCAUGCAAGAAUUCCCCUUGAUAAACACACUUCCUGUUUUCUAGAAAUUUUUGAAUCCAAGAAAGGCACAGCUGGAAAAAAGUUUCUACUAAAAAUUAAGUCUGCAGUAAGUUGCUUUUUAAACAGUACUGUGAGUCCAUUUGUCAACUUUUAAGGAAAACAAAACUAGAGUUAUUUGGUAUUGCUUGGCGGGAAAGUAACCUAUCCUACAGAAAAGCAUU